rnacentral:lncRNA from 1 species
CGACUAUUAUUCUCAGUGGCGGAGCCAGCCAUAAGAUUCACCAAGGACAAUAUAAAGUUCAACCUUAAAAUCAUGGGGGCAUUAAAAGAAAUUUAACACUUAAUCAUAAAAUUUUCAAAAAAUGAAUGCAAAUAAUCUUUUUCUCAAUAAUUCAUAUGGGGCAGCUGCCCCCUUUCCUACCUCAUCUGCCACUGAUUAUCCUUGAGUCUUCUUCCACUGAAGAUAAAGAGACUUUGUUGCGUCCGGAGUAUUUCACAGAACCGCAUAAUCUAAUUUUCAGUAUCACUAAUCUCCUGCCAAGGCUGGGUUCUUGGUCUAUUGAUUAUGUCACAGCUCCCUGGAACACUUUAGCUUCGUCGGUGGUAGAAAGUGUCAUCCUCUGUCACCACACUUGUUCAUGCAUCUAUUUUUAAUAAAGACUUGGAGUGCUCUGACUUGGUUGAGCUUGAAAAUAAAAUAAAAAACUAAUGCAACGGACAUGUCCAUAUGUCUUUGCAAGUUCAGCUCCCCUUGUUCUUCUAAAUUACUCAUUGUGUUACUUCUUUCCAAAGGAUCCAGCUUCCUUCUGUUGUGCAUCAUCGCUUCUGUUCCUACAAAGAAAACACUUUAAUUAGUUGUGUUGUUUUAU